CCUACGGGGGGCAGCAGUGGGGAAUAUUGCACAAUGGGGGAAACCCUGAUGCAGCGACGCCGCGUGAGUGAAGAAGUAUUUCGGUAUGUAAAGCUCUAUCAGCAGGGAAGAAAUAGCGACCUUUGGGUCGCCAGACGGUACCUGAUUAAGAAGCCCCGGCUAACUACGUGCCAGCAGCCGCGGUAAUACGUAGGGGGCAAGCGUUAUCCGGAUGUACUGGGUGUAAAGGGAGCGUAGACGGCAGCGCAAGUCUGAAGUGAAAUGCCGGGGCUUAACCCCGGAACUGCUUUGGAACCUGUGCAGCUAGAGUGCAGGAGAGGUAAGUGGAAUUCCUGGUGGAGCGGUGAAAUGCGUAGAUAGUAGGAGGAACAGCAGUGGCGAAGGCGGCUUACUGGACUGUAACUGACGUUGAGGCUCGAAAGCGUGGGGAGCAAACAGGAUUAGAUACCCCAGUAGGC
rnacentral:rRNA from 1 species